rnacentral:lncRNA from 1 species
CGAUUCUCGUGCCUCUGCUUCUCGAGUAGCUGGGACUACAGCUCAAAAAAUGACAAGCUUGCCAUUAAUGCGUGCCAUUCUGGGAAUAAACAGGAAGUUAACAGAGUUUUCCUUUAUACUGAGGAAAACUAAGAAAUAAGGAACUACAAGAAAUCAGUUUUACCUCUUCAGAAUAAAAAUUGCUGACUCAUCCUGAGUAAAAGGAGAUUUGGCUUUUAAUUCUAACUUACUAACUGUGGGUAAGUCCUUUUACAUCUCUGGACCUCUGUGAAGUAAGUCACUGGAAAUUAAAUGAUCUAUAAGGUCUAAUUUAAUCCUGGUCUCUGAACAAAAGGGAGAUGAGAUCUGGUAUGCAAAGAAAUGUCUGCUUUGAAUACAACAACAGACUCAGAUCCAGAAGAUGGCUAGCAAAUAUAGAAGUAGGUUAUUAAGUUUAAAAUGAUGCUCUGUGACAAAACCAGCUGUGGGUUUUUGUGCUGCUAAGCUGAUAUUAGAGAGCUUUAAGAUGGUCUGAAUUGUAAGCAAUAAUAAUUAUAUACAUAGGGGUUGUGGAUGAAGCUACGGAUGAUAAAAUGGUGACAACUGUCAAAGCUGGGUGAUGGUAAUGGGGAGGGGGUUCAUCAUACUAUUUUGUUUAUUUUGGAUAUGUUUCAAAUUUGCUGUAAUAAAGUUAAAAAAAAAAAAAAAAA